GAUGAACGCUGGCGGCGUGCUUAACACAUGCAAGUCGAACGGUGAAGGCGGAGCUUGCUCUGCUGGAUCAGUGGCGAACGGGUGAGUAACACGUGAGCAAUCUGCCCCUGACUCUGGGAUAAGCGCUGGAAACGGCGUCUAAUACUGGAUACGAGCUGCGAAGGCAUCUUCAGCAGCUGGAAAGAAUUUCGGUCAGGGAUGAGCUCGCGGCCUAUCAGCUUGUUGGUGAGGUAAUGGCUCACCAAGGCGUCGACGGGUAGCCGGCCUGAGAGGGUGACCGGCCACACUGGGACUGAGACACGGCCCAGACUCCUACGGGAGGCAACAGUGGGGAAUAUUGCACAAUGGGCGAAAGCCUGAUGCAGCAACGCCGCGUGAGGGACGACGGCCUUCGGGUUGUAAACCUCUUUUAGCAGGGAAGAAGCGAAAGUGACGGUACCUGCAGAAAAAGCGCCGGCUAACUACGU
rnacentral:rRNA from 1 species